rnacentral:lncRNA from 1 species
AAAGAGAUGAAGAGGAGUGAGCCAGGUUUCAGGAGGGGGCACGCAGGAGACCAGCCCUGGAUUCAGACUUGAGCCUGGUCCACACCAGAGGCCGAUAGAAGGCUUGGAUUACAGCAGGGGCAGGUUCUUUCACGAAAUCAAAUUUCUCCACUGAUUUCUGAAUUCAUAGCAAGCUAACUAGAAGAGAUUUUUAAUUCAGAAUGCUGCACUCCAAAAAACUGAGAAAGACAUUGAGGGAGGGAAUAUGGAAAUUUGAUGGUAUCUCGGCUAAGUUUGAUAUUGAGAUUUUUGUAAUAAAUGUUGUUGAAUAAAAAAGGCAUCAAGAUGCCUAAAUCAGAGAGAUAAAAUGAAGAAUAAUUACAGUAUACAAUUUUUGAAUUAUUGUCCAAUCAACUAAAAUUAGAAGUUUUUAACAUGCUAAAAUGGAAAGUUAUUCAACAGAAUGGAAUCCUUUAAAAUAUGAUGGAACUGCCACUUAAGCAUCAGAAGUCUGCUCAGGUGUGACCCUGGGAGCCCAAACUUUUCACGGAACAGCAAGGAACAUCCCUGUGCUCCUCCUUCCCAGUCUCUUUUUUUUUCAGAGGGAGUCUCGCUCUGUUGCCCAGGCUGGAGUGCAGUGGCGAGAUCUCAGCUCACUGCAAGCUCCGUCUCCCGGGUUCACGCCAUUCUCCUGCCUCAGCCUGCCGAGUAGCUGGGACAACAGGCGCCAGCCACCAUGCCCAGGUAAUUUUUUGUAUUUUUAAUAGAGAUGGGGUUUCACCAUGUUAGCCAGGAUGAUCUCGAUCUCCUGACCUCGUGAUCUGCCCGUCUCAGCCUCCAAAAGUGCUGGGAUUACAGGCAUGAGCCACUGCACCCAGCCCGCCUUCCCAGUCUUUACAUAGAUGCUUAGGAUUCAAGGGGGUUUUCUUCUCAUUAGCAAGACUUAGGCACAAUCACUAUGCCUAGUACCAAAUCUCUACAUUCAGGAAAGAAGGUGCAACUUAGAAAUAUCAGUUCAUGAACCAUGGGUCAUCUCACUCUUUGGGAAAACACAGAGUCAAGCCAACUCUCUUGAUCUUCCAGGCAUACAAAACCUGCCUUGCCUCUCCCCAGUUUGAACAGUGCUUUUGAACUUUGAUGGAAAAGCCACAUUUGGAAGCUGCAGCAUCCUCGGGAGACAGCUGGAUCAGCCAGAGAGCUUCAGAAAGACACACAUCACUCUGCCAGACACACACACUGCUCCAGCUCCAGCAUCCAACAUCUGACCACAUGUCGGCAGCCACUGCUGACCUGGCUCCACCAUUUCUCCCCAGGUCUAAGCUUAAGCCGCACUGCAUUGCUUCCAUUUCUUCAUGCUUGCUCUGUUCCCUUCUACCACAGGGGCUUUGUGCAAGCUCAGCCUCAACAUGGAUCUUCCCCCUUCUUCACCUGGUCAACAGCCACUCAUUCUUCAACCUUAGUUCGAGCAUCAUCAACCUCCCCCGCUAUGUCAGUUCUCCCUGUUAGACACCCUGGCUGUUCCACAUAUCUUUUAUUCAAAGUAGUUACAUAUUAAAGCAUUCCAUUUGUGCAUACAAUUAUUGUAGAAUUACUUCCCAGCAGACAGAUGCUAUAGGAGGGAAGAGACCUUUUCUGCUUAAGUAUCUAGUGCAGUGCCUGGCCCUUAAUAGGUGCUCAACAAAAAUUUUUAAAUGAAUGCUUAAAUACCAUAUCAUGGGUCAUGUCUGGUUGCAAAAAGAUAUUCAUCAUAAUAAAAAUAAUAAACUAUAAUUAAAAUAUACUCAUCAUCAUAAAAAUAAAUGAACUAGGCAGAUACUGGUGUUAAAGGUAUCACUGCCUUUAUUGUGGGCCAUUUUAGGAUGCAAGGCACAGUAGGGGUAAACAAUUAAGAGAGACUUCUGUAGUCUAGGAAUAC